GACUACGACCAUUCCACCCUGAACACGUCCGAUCUUGUCUGAUCUCGAAAGCUAAGCAGGGUCGGGCCUGGUUAGUACUUGAAUGGGAGACCACCUAGGAAUACCAGGUGCUGUAGGCG
rnacentral:rRNA from 1 species